ACGUGAGUGUCCGCAACAUUGGACAGUUGAUGCAAUAGAUUCGCAAGGAGCUACCAAGAAACUCAAAGUAAAGGUUAAGGAUGUGAUGUAUUUAUCCGACGGAAAAUGUAUUGUGGUUGAAUUUGAUGAUAUGGAUCAGCCAAUUGGAGAAGGGCAAGGUGUUCUUGCAGGCUAUUGUGGAAUUUUAGCAACCGACUGCUCCUUAUUUCCAAUUCACUUCAACAAAUGGCCAGAUUUACCUAACCACGAUUCUGUUUUAAGACAACUGAGUUAAAUGCACGAGCAUAUGUUUAUAGUUCUAUUGGAAAGAAGUGGAGUUCAGGAAGGCAAAGGUUGUGGUAUGAGUUCAAUGACCCACUUAAGACCA